AAGAUAUUAGUAAAAACAUUACAUAACUUUGUCAAAGUUAAAUCACAGACUCACCCCUGUAUAUCUUA
rnacentral:tRNA from 1 species